UUGAGAUAUUUCAAUUUUGAUAUGAUCAGGAUAAAAUAUAGUUUAUUUAGAUAUGUUCAUAUCGAUUUUUGGAUUGCUAUUUGAUUUUAUAAUCGAUUUAUGGAUUUAAUUUCGUUUAAUUAUUAAUUAUAUUUAAAUAGUUAUUUAACAUUUUAAACCCCGUGGGCGUUCGGGAAAAUUUCGCCAUUAAGCUAUUUGGGACAUUCUGAACAUUAUUCGUGUUUUAACUUUCUCAAUCCGGAGUACGGUUUGCCCCGUAAAUGAUCCGGUAUGGUUUUAUUAAUAUUUUUAAAGUUAAUAAUUAUCUGGUUGUCUCGUAAUGCGUGAAGCAUAUUCCAGGAAUAUUCCAAAGCAUAUUCAAGGAAUAUUCCCAAGCAUAUUCAAGGAAUAUUCUCUUAUCUUCUUCUAUAAAUAUCCUUUACCAGUUUAUUUCGCACGUACAAUCAUUUCGUCAGUUUCUCUGCACGAAUACCGAGAGAAGACGAACGGGUGUUCUUCGUGUUCUUCACAAUCAAACGAGGAUUUGAAGGCGUUAUUGGAAUCCGAUGGAGGCGUAUGAAUAGUCAAAACGAAGCUCUCGACGCGUAGAAUCUAUUGUAGUCAUCCAUAUCAGUGCUGAAUCGACAGGGUUUGGACGAGACGGAUACGAUCAAAGACGUUCAGAAGGUCAAACGAUGUUACAAAGCGAAUAAGGAACGAAUCGAGUAAACGAAGCAGUGUGGCGAAUAGAGUAUAGCCAAAGAUGGUCUAGAGACUAUGAUAUGCAUAGAGUGUGAAAGUGGAAAGAUGAGAUUGAGAUAUGAGACUGGAAUCGGAUUUAAG